rnacentral:tRNA from 1 species
UUUAGCUCAGUGGUGAGAGCGAGCGACUCAUAAUCGCCAGGUCGCUGGUUCAAGUCCAGCAA